ACGUAGGGUGCAAGCGUUAAUCGGAAUUACUGGGCGUAAAGCGUGCGCAGGCGGUGAUGUAAGGCAGGUGUGAAAUCCCCGGGCUUAACCUGGGAACUGCAUUUGUGACUGCAUCGCUGGAGUGUGGCAGAGGGGGAUGGAAUUCCGCGUGUAGCAGUGAAAUGCGUAGAUAUGCGGAGGAACACCGAUGGCGAAGGCAAUCCCCUGGGCCUGCACUGACGCUCAUGCACGAAAGCGUGGGGAGCAAGCAGG
rnacentral:rRNA from 1 species